AUAAGAAUCAGAAUCAGCAUCAAUAUCGGCAUCACUAUCUCCAAAACCAUAGUUGUUGUUCUGUCGCAUCUUCCUCUCUUUUUGUUCACUCGAAAGAAAAACUUUGACUUUUCCGAUUCCAUUCAUUCUUCUCUCUUUCUCAGUCAAAUUAAUUCCUCCAGCUGCGCGCGCCAAACAG